rnacentral:rRNA from 1 species
UGGGGAAUUUUGGACAAUGGGCGCAAGCCUGAUCCAGCCAUGCCGCGUGCGGGAAGAAGGCCUUCGGGUUGUAAACCGCUUUUGUCAGGGAAGAAAUCUUCUGAGUUAAUACCUCGGGAGGAUGACGGUACCUGAAGAAUAAGCACCGGCUAACUACGUGCCAGCAGCCGCGGUAAUACGUAGGGUGCAAGCGUUAAUCGGAAUUACUGGGCGUAAAGCGUGCGCAGGCGGUUUUGUAAGACAGAGGUGAAAUCCCUGGGCUCAACCUGGGAACUGCCUUUGUGACUGCAAGGCUUGAGUGCGGCAGAGGGGGAUGGAAUUCCGCGUGUAGCAGUGAAAUGCGUAGAUAUGCGGAGGAACACCGAUGGCGAAGGCAAUCCCCUGGGCCUGCACUGACGCUCAUGCACGAAAGCGUGGGGAGCAAACAGGAUUAGAUACCCUGGUAGUCCACGCCCUAAACGACGUCAACUGGUUGUUGGGAAGGUUCCUUCUCAGUAACGUAGCUAACGCGUGAAGUUGACCGCCUGGGGAGUACGGCCGCAAGGUUGAAAC